GUGCAUAUGCAUAUUGGAGUCCGAUUUAGCCAUGCUAGUCGCACGGGUUCAGACCCGUGGCGAAUAGCUCCGUAACACGUGGCCAAACUACCCUAUGGAUCGGAAUAACCUCGGGAAACUGAGGCUAAUACCGAAUACCGCUCUCACGUUGGAAUUACAGAGAGCACGAAACGCUCCGGCGCCAUAGGAUGUGGCUGCGGCCGAUUAGGUAGACGGUGGGGUAACGGCCCACCGUGCCGAUAAUCGGUACGGGUUGUGAGAGCAAGAGCCCGGAGACGGUAUCUGAGACAAGAUACCGGGCCCUACGGGGCGCAGCAGGCGCGAAACCUUUACACUGCACGAACGUGCGAUAAGGGGACUCCAAGUGCGAGGGCAUAUAGUCCUCGCUUUUGCCUACCGUAAGGUGGUAGGUGAAUAAGAGCUGGGCAAGACCGGUGCCAGCCGCCGCGGUAAUACCGGCAGCUCGAGUGAUGGCCAAUAUUAUUGGGCCUAAAGCGUCCGUAGCUGGCCGAACAGGUCUGUCGGGAAAUCCGCUCGCUCAACGAGCGGACGUCCGGCGGAAACCAGUCGGCUUGGGACCGGAAGACCCGAGGGGUACGUCCGGGGUUAGGAGUGAAAUCCUGUAAUCCUGGACGGACCACCGGUGGCGA
rnacentral:rRNA from 1 species